rnacentral:rRNA from 1 species
GUGAGGAAUUUUCCGCAAUGGGCGAAAGCCUGACGGAGCAAUGUCGCGUGAAGGAUGAAGGCCUAUGGGUUGUAAACUUCUUUUCUCAGAAAAGAAUUAUGACGGUAUCUGAGGAAUAAGCAUCGGCUAACUCUGUGCCAGCAGCCGCGGUAAGACAGAGGAUGCAAGCGUUAUCCGGAAUGAUUGGGCGUAAAGCGUCUGUAGGUUGUUUAAAAAGUAUUCUGUCAAAGAUUAGGGCUUAACCCUAGAUAGGCAGAAUAAACUUUUAAGCUAGAGUUUGGUAGAGGCAGAGGGAAUUCCCGGUGGAGCGGUGAAAUGCGUAGAUAUCGGGAGGAACACCAAAGGCGAAGGCACUCUGCUGGGCCAAUACUAACACUGAGAGACGAAAGCGAGGGGAGCAAAUGGGAUUAGAUACCCUAGUAGUCC